rnacentral:rRNA from 1 species
GACGAACGCUGGCGGCGUGCUUAACACAUGCAAGUCGAACGGAAAGGCCCUGCUUUUGUGGGGUGCUCGAGUGGCGAACGGGUGAGUAACACGUGAGUAACCUGCCCUUGACUUUGGGAUAACUUCAGGAAACUGGGGCUAAUACCGGAUAGGAGCUCCUGCUGCAUGGUGGGGGUUGGAAAGUUUCGGCGGUUGGGGAUGGACUCGCGGCUUAUCAGCUUGUUGGUGGGGUAGUGGCUUACCAAGGCUUUGACGGGUAGCCGGCCUGAGAGGGUGACCGGCCACAUUGGGACUGAGAUACGGCCCAGAAUCAUACGGGAGGCAGGAGUGGAGAAUAUUGCACAAUGGGCGGAAGCCGGAUGCAGCAACGCCGCGUGAGGAUGACGGCCUUCGGGUUGUAAACCGCUUUCGCCUGUGACGAAGCGUGAGUGACGGUAAUGGGUAAAGAAGCACCGGAUAACUACGUG